rnacentral:rRNA from 1 species
CUACGUGCCAGCAGCCGCGGUAAUACGUAGGGCGCGAGCGUUGUCCGGAAUUAUUGGGCGUAAAGGGCUUGUAGGCGGUUGGUCGCGUCUGCCGUGAAAUCCUCUGGCUUAACUGGGGGCGUGCGGUGGGUACGGGCUGACUUGAGUGCGGUAGGGGAGACUGGAACUCCUGGUGUAGCGGUGGAAUGCGCCGAUAUCAGGAAGAACACCGGUGGCGAAGGCGGGUCUCUGGGCCGUUACUGACGCUGAGGAGCGAAAGCGUGGGGAGCGAACAGGAUUAGAUACCCUGGUAGUCCACGCUGUAAACGUUGGGCACUAGGUGUGGGGGCCACCCGUGGUUUCUGCGCCGUAGCUAACGCUUUAAGUGCCCCGCCUGGGGAGUACGGCCGCAAGGCUAAAACUCAAAGGAAUUGACGGGGGCCCGCACAAGCGGCGGAGCAUGCGGAUUAAUUCGAUGCAACGCGAAGAACCUUACCAAGGCUUGACAUGC